rnacentral:rRNA from 1 species
GGUUUCUUGUAUUUUAUAAGAAAUCUGACCUGCCCACUGAAUAAUUUUUUUGAAGGGCCGCAGUAUUUUGACUGUGCAAAGGUAGCAUAAUCAUUAGUCUUUUAAUUGAAGGCUGGUAUGAAUGGUUGGACGAGGCAUAAGCUAUCUUAUAGUAAUUUUUGUUGAAUUUAGGAUUUAAGUAAAAACACUUAAUUUGUAUUAAGGGACGAGAAGACCCUAUAGAGUUUAAUAUAUGAAUCAUUAAUUAGGUUAUAGUAUGAAAUUUUUAAUUUGUGUAUAGUAUAUUUAAUUGGGGUGAUUAAAAGAUAAAAAAAACUCUUAUUUUUAGUUAAUAAUUUAGUUAAAUUAUGGAUCCAUAAUUAAUGAUCAAAAGAUUAAAUUACCUUAGGGAUAACAGCAUAAUUCUUUUUAAGAGUUCAUAUCGAAAAGAGAGAUUGUGACCUCGAUGUUGGAUUAAGAAAAACUUUGGGUGUAGAUGUUCAAUUGUUAGGUCUGUUCGACCUUUAAUUUCUUACA